AGCGAAAUGCGAUAAGUAAUGUGAAUUGCAGAAUUCAGUGAAUCAUCGAAUCUUUGAACGCACAUUGCACCCCCUGGUAUUCCGGGGGGUAUGCCUGUUCGAGCGUCAUUAUCAACCCUCAAGCACAGCUUGCUGUUGGGUCCUCGUCCCCUGCGUCGUCAGGCGGACGUGCCCGGAAUGCCAUGACAGCUCCGCCCCGUCUCCAGCGCAGUAAGAUUUGACAUCACCGCURAGAUUGGGCGCGGAACGCUGGACAGCCCCCCCAAAUUGUCUUAUGAUUGACCUCGGAUCAGGUAGGGAUACCCGCUGAACUUAAGCAUAUCAAUAAGCGGAGGAAAAGAAACCAACCGGGAUUGCCUCAGUAACGGCGAGUGAAGCGGCAAGAGCUCAAAUUUGAAAUCUGGCCUCCUUCGGGGCCCGAGUUGUAAUUUGCAGAGGAUGUUUCGGGUUCGGCUGCGGUCUAAGUUCCUUGGAACAGGACGUCCUGGAGGGUGAGAAUCCCGUGUGGGACCGCCGGCCACGCCCAUGUGAAACGCCUUCGACGAGUCGAGUUGUUUGGGAAUGCAGCUCCAAAUGGGUGGUAAAUUUCAUCUAAAGCUAAAUACUGGCCAGAGACCGAUAGCGCACAAGUAGAGUGAUCGAAAGAUGAAAAGCACUUUGGAAAGAGAGUUAAACAGCAUGUGAAAUUGUUGAAAGGGAAGCGCUGGCCACCAGACUUGGCUCCGGGUGCUCAACCGCGCGUUCUUCGCCGGUGCACUCGCCCGGAAACAGGCCAGCAUCGGUUCAGGCGGCCGGACAAAGGUCCCCGGAAUGUAGCUUCCCCCGGGGAGUGUUAUAGCCGGGGGCGCAAUGCGGUCCGCCUGGACCGAGGAUCGCGCUUCGGCUCGGAUGCUGGCGUAAUGGUGGUCAGCG
rnacentral:rRNA from 1 species